AAUCAUUCCAAAGGUAAUGUAAAUGUAAAAAUAAGGGAAAUGAGCAUGCACAAUUAAAAAUCAAAUAUGGACUGACACUGAUAUAUAAUUCAAAAUUUUUUAGACGCUUUGACAGAAAACUCUGAAUUAGGGUAAUAAUGUCACAAAAAAACAUGUUCAUAAAGAGUACAAUGGCAAUUACAUGACACCUCAAUGAAAACCAAGGCAAAAAAAAAAAAAAAACGUGACAUUGCGGUCUGUAAUUAUAUUACAUCAUAGUUGUCUAUUUUUCUCAAAUGUCUUCUCUCCUAUCCUCUCUCUCUCUCCCACUCGUUGAUCUGUCUUCCUCCUCCCUCUGUCCCUGAUGACUUAUCGAUCACCCUUUGUGGUUUUAUCCAAAGUCUCUCAAAACUCCCAGCUCUGUCUGUCAUGCAGCCUGCUGAGGGAUUGUUUUGGAGGCCACCGCUCUGUAAUUGAAAGCGUGGCCAGAAAGACGAAUGGUCCCACUGGCAACUUCACUCAAGAGGGCAGCUGUGACCAGUUGUGUAAAAACAGUAACACACACCAUGCUACCGCCCUGGGGCUUAACAAUACCAAGUUAACGUUAGCGCGCUACGUCACAUGUCAAGGGUGGCAUCAGAGUGGCAGGAAGUGAAGCUCUGGAGCUGAAUAUUUCUUCUGAAUAUCAUCUACAGGACAAGCAUGGCCUCUAUUAAAUUCAGCAUUGUGAACUGACCAUUUACAGUAGGUAUUUAAAGCCAAAGUAAAUGAAAUAUCAAAAAAGGCCCCAAAGAACUGUUUAAUGCCCCCCCACCCCCCGAGUUUUGGGUUUCUAUUCCUUCACUGACUUGACUCUUUUUUUUGUCACUUUGAUCCAAAAGAUCAACUGAAUGGUGUAUCAUAUUAUUAAUGAAGCUUGUUUUUGGUCCUUCAUUAGAGAAAUAUUUCAUUUUCCUUCUAACGUAGGGUGCUAGAUCAUUCAUCAGCCAUAAGCUGUUUUCAUAACUAAAGCACAAAAAUAUAAUAUGAAAUAUUUAUUAUGCCGCUUCAGUUUCUUAUAAUUCUUGGUUAACACUAGCCCAAUUUGGGUAAUUAUACUGAAAGCACUGCAUAGGGUUGACUGGAAGCUCUAUUGACAACAUUUAUGAUUACCCCAGAAAAUAAUUGGCUCAUCGCUCAGUUUUGUAGUUACAGAGAUACAAUGGAAAUAAACGAGACUAGAAUGCAGAGGGGUUUAACUAGUAUUCUUGUAUACAAAAGUACUUAAAUUAUUCAAUAAAAACUUUUUCGGUAACACUUUCUAUGAAGACCAUGCUUAUAAUGAAUUAUAGCCCCAUUUAUACACUACCGGUCAAAAGUUUGGGUUCAGUAAGGCUUGUAAUGUUUUUUUUAAAGAAGUCUCUUAUGCUCAUCAAGGCUGCAUUUAUUUGAUCAAAAGUACAAAGAGAAAAAAAACAACAACAACCCCCGUAAUCUUGCAAAAUGUUAUUACAAUAUAAAAUAAUGGUUUCUAUUUUAAUAUCCUUUAAAAUAUAAUUUAUUUCUGUGAUGCAAAGCUGACUUUCCAUCAGCCAUUACUCCAGUAUAAAGUGUCACAUGAUCCUUAAGAAAUCAUUUAUAAACACUGAUAGGAUAAUUUUUUUUAUGUGAUUAACUCACUAGCCCCACCCCCACCCCACGUACAGUACGUCAUCUGAUAUUUCAUAAGGUGUGUUCGAAUUGAAGCGGUGCUGCGCAGACCAAACCAAUGUUUGACAUCAAAGUACUGCAAGAAGAGCCGUCUGCAGUGCAUCAGUUGAUGAACAUGAUGCAAGGCAACAAGUCACUGCUCGAUGUAUCCUAUAGAAUGCCGUUAUAUGCCCACAGAAUUCAAGGGAUUUGGGAAAAAUGCCCCUGUGAGAUUUUGUCUCAUAUUGGUAUCAUAUGAUAUAGUUAAGUAAGAUCACGCGAGCAAUUAUUAUUAUUAUAGGGGACAUCGGAGGCAAAAUUCACGUUUACAUGGUUUUUGCAUAUACAGUAUAUGUGUCUUAUGUGUAUGUGUGAACUAUCCUACAAUGACAAUUUUUUAAUCACCAAAAAACCUAAACAGUCUCAAUUAUUUAUAAAUACAUUCAUGGAACCACACGGCUGACUAGCUAAUACUUAUAAAUCAGUUUAUAAUGGAUAAUGAACAUGCGCAUUGAAAAAGAAAAUGCAUGACUUAUAGGUAAUUAUAAAAAUAAUAUAAAUUCAGUUAUAACUGUUCUUAUAAUGCAGUAUAGGUCUUAAUGAGUCUUUAUAAAUAUGUUUAUAAAAUAGUAAUACUUACUAAUAAAUAAGUAUAAAUGGAGCUAUAAUUCAUUAUAAGCAUGGUCUUCAUAGAAAGUGUUACCCUAUUUUCAUAUAACUCAGAACUUUUAUUUUCUUACAGUCUUUCCUUAGGUGUGAACUCUAACACAAAUCCUGUUAUUUUUAUGCAUGUAAAAAAAAAGGAUCGUUUCUGAUAUCUUUGUGGAGUGUAAACAUAAGCAUCAUGCACACAUUAAUGCUAUCGGGAUAACCCUGAUACUAAACUUUGUAGAUAAGUCAUAAAAUGGUUGUAAACAAGUCAUAUUCAUUUUCGGUGGCAAAUGCCAUAAUGCCAUAACGCCAUAAAUGUUGUCAAUAAUAAUUGUGUUCAACCUGCAACAUUCCUUCGUAAAUAUAUAAUUCUGACCCUAUAUCUAGUUUAUCACAUGUGCACACUGACUAUGUAAAUCCUCUCUUUGGACUGGGGUGACGUCCUUUCUCAGCAUGUAAUGAAAAUAUGCCAUUAGAACUGCAUUUCUGUUUCCACUUCAUGUUGACCACUGUGCCUCUUGUUUUUUGUACUGAUUUUAUUGUUAACCAAGUUAAAGUCAUGGUUAAUGGGGUACUUUGUUUUUAAUCACAUUUUUCAAGGUUUUAAGCAAAUGACUAAAAUGUAAAAGAAUCAUUAAGUGCAUUUUCAGAUCUUUAUAUUAUGUUUCUAGAGGUUAGCUUAUUAAGUCAGCAAAAUCAUAAUUUUCCAUAUAUCAUAAAAGUGGUCUUAUAAAUGGACCAUAUACACACCAAAAAAGAUUGGGAUCAGUAAGAAUUUAUUUAUUUAUUUAUUUAUUUAUUUAUUUAUUUAUUUUUUUCAGUGAUAUAUUAUUACAAAUAAUCUUAUGAAAUUGUAUUACAGUGUAAAAUAACUAUCUUCUAUUUUAAUACUUUGAUGGCAAUUUAAUCCUGUGAUGGCAAUUAUUGUAAUAUGCUGAUUUAGUGCUCACAUUGUUUUUUGUUUUUUGUUUUUUUAUCAACACUGACAGCUGUUGUGUUGCUUAAUACUUUUGUCGAAACCGUGAAACAUUUUUUUUUUUUUUUUUUUAAAAAAUUUGACAAAUAGAUGGUCAUCAUUCACUCAUAAUCUUCACCCACUAUCACAUCAUCUAUCCUUAUGAAUUUUGGUGAGCUAAUAUUUUGCACACAAAAGUACAUGUGAGAAAUGAGUACAGGCUGUGCAGCUGAAUGAAAACCAAACAUCCAUUCAUUCUCCAUCUAUUCGCUUUAAAACAGCCUGUGGUCUAAAGCAAAGUAAAGAAGAACAACUGCUUUUCUUAAAUGUCCUUGGUGCCAUUUAAAGAUAAUGGAAAUUGUGUGCUGUGAAGUACGCCAGGUUUCUCUGUGGUAAUUCCUCUUUGCAUUAUGGGUUGAGGACUCGGCACUUACCCGCCCUACUGCUCUGAACAUUAUUCAUGGCCAUUGAAAGCACACUCACACACAAACACCCUGAACGCAGCUCCUCUCUGGAGGUGGAGAGGUGCAACAGAAGAAAGACAAACAGAGAUCCAAAGAGAGACAGACAAACAGACAGGCUGUGUGUGUGGGUUUAUCUGUGGGUAUGUAUGUGCGGUUGUUGUGCUUCAGUGGCCACUAGCUGCUUUCUAGAGUCUUGUUAAAGGAAUGUUCAGCCAAAACAGAAAAAUCUGUCAUUAUUUACUCAUCACCACCACCACGUCUUUGCAAACCAGAGUGCUGUUAUAUUCCCAUGCUACACAAAUGGCAAUUUUCUCUUUUACAUCUUCUCUUUUCCAUUUAAAAAUCAGUUCACUGCUCAACCACAAGAACCACCAUAAAAACUAUAAAGGUUCGGUUACAUGACUUAAGAUUCUUCUAAAGCCAUAUGGUAAGUUUGUGAGGAUGUUGGGAGGC
ensembl:lncRNA